UACGGAGGGGGCUAGCGUUGUUCGGAUUUACUGGGCGUAAAGGGCGGGUAGGCGGCCACCGCAAGUCAGUUGUGAAAUCUCCGGGCUUAACCCGGAAAGGUCAACUGAUACUGCGGGGCUAGAGUGCAGAAGGGGCAACUGGAAUUCUCGGUGUAGCGGUGAAAUGCGUAGAUAUCGAGAGGAACACCUGCGGCGAAGGCGGGUUGCUGGGCUGACACUGACGCUGAACUGCGAAAGCUAGGGGAGCGAACGGG
rnacentral:rRNA from 1 species